rnacentral:lncRNA from 1 species
CAGGACAGGCACCUGCUUCACUCUUGAAUGUGUGCCAGGGACCUGAGACUCCAAGGUCAAAGGUGAAAGAUGAAGACCAGACUUCAUCUGGACCAUAGUUAAAGUCACAACAAGGGACCACACAACUUCUCCCUCCUCUAAAUGAGGACACACCUUCAAGUUAGCCUCCAAACACCAAAACUGGAGUGACAAUCGGAAUAAAGGACUUGUGAGAGGUUGAGACAGGGAGAUGCAAAGACAGAAUACUGUCUUGUAGUUCAAGCUUGCUAACAGGUGUCAUUUGUGACAAGAGUAAGAUGGGUGAAUUUCAUGGCAUUCCAGCCUCAUAUACCCCAUGA